UGCUAGCCGUUGUCGGGUUUACUCGUCAGUGGCGCACUAACGCAUUAAGCAUCCCGCCUGGGGAGUACGGUCGCAAGAUUAAAACUCAAAGGAAUUACGGGGGCCCGCACAAGCGGUGGAGCAUGUGGUUCAAUUCGAAGCAACGCGCAGAACCUUCCAGCUCUUGACAUGUCCCGUAUGAGUACCAGAGAUGGAACUCUUCAGUUCGGCUGGCGGAACACAGGUGCUGCAUGGCUGUCGUCAGCUCGUGUCGUGAGAUGUUGGGUUAAGUCCCGCACGAGCGCAACCCUCGCCCUUAGUUGCCAUCAUUUAGUUGGGCACUCUAAGGGGACUGCCGUGAUAAGCCGCGAGGAAGGUGGGGAUGACGUCAAGUCCUCAUGGCCCUUACGGGCUGGGUACACACGUGCUACAAUGGCGGUGACAAUGGGAUGCUGAGGGGUAACCCCGAGCAAAUCUAAAAAGCCGUCUCAGUUCGGAUUGUGCUCUGCAACUCGAGCACAUGAAGUUGGAAUCGCUGUAAUCGCAGAUCAGCACGCUGCGGUGAAUACGUUCCCGGGCCUUGUACACACCGCCCGU
rnacentral:rRNA from 1 species